UGAUUUUGUUUUCGUGUGACUCAAUCGUUUCGGAGUGGCGUUUUUCCUCGUAGCUGUUAAUAGAUUAUUUAUCAUGAAAACCAUCGAUUGCAAAAGGAGAUACAAGGACUCAUUGACUGUGAGAGAAAAUCCCAUAAUGACAUUAUCUUACCCUUGUGUUACCACUAAUUAUUUGACUUAAUAUGCAGAAAUUGCACAACGGAUGCUGCUUUUAUUAUAAGUGACAUGCAUCGUUUCUAAGGACUUCCAUUCAAAUUAAGGCAUAAUUGCAAGAUAUCCCUGUAUAAAUGAAAACCACCAAUGCAACGCUUAGGAAGACCCUAUAUUUUAGAGAUUAAAUGACAUUUUCGAAUUCUGAGCUGUGCAAAAAUCUAAGCUGAUUGAUGUAAAAUUACAUUUAAGCCAAAAUCAUCAACAUUGCAGCAUCGACCAAAGGUCUUUCAGAAUAUUUUCAUCACUAAAGGUCUUUCAGAAUAUUUCUCAAAGGGAUUUUUUUUGCAUCUUAUAAACUGAUUUAGCCCUUUAAUGUUAUUACAUACAUUAACUUUACCAACUACAUCGUUUUGUUAUAUGUCACAUCUACAUAUUUCAAGAAAAGGUUUUGGACCCCUCAUCAAUAUUCACAAGCGCUUGUCAAUGUUUGGAGGUAAAACCCAUAUAUUAGUCCGUCUGUCCAAGGUAUGUGUCCUAUUAACCAUAUUGCGUCGUAAGCAAUCACCUGGGACACUGCGGGUUGCAAGUUCCUUCUGAAGAAUCCCACGCUGGUGCCGAGGAGGUGAGCCUUUGGGUUACCGAUCAGCCGAUUUAAUUUAUUUAUGUUUAAUUUACUUUUAGUUCCCUUUAGGAUUAGUCCGCGAUGUAGUUUAGUUUGUAAUUCAGUUUUGUAUUUUGUAAUCCACUUUUAUAGUUCAGCUUUAAGUUUCGCGUGAAAUUCAGUCUUUAAACUUGGAUUGUAACUGCGAUCUUUAAGAUUAAGUUGUAUUUCAAUUCUCAGAUUAGCUCGUAAUUUAGCUUUAAGAUUGGGGUGUAAUUGAGUUCAUUAAAAUUAGUUGGGAAUUUAGCUUUAGUUUUUUUCUUUUCUCUCGUUCAGACUCAAUCCUGCUCUCGCUUGAUCACCUCCGGCUUGGUUCUCAUUCAAAAGGAAAAAAACGUUUUUCCUUCUUGGGUCAGUUGCCUGCGUUGUCAUUGUUAUCAGACAGAACUUCCUCUGAUGGGCCAAAUGACAAAAAACAACUAUCAUACCAAGAUAUAUUUAUUAACAAAUAGUGGCAGUUGCCCAACAACAAAAUAUAGAGUGCACUAUUUGUUAAAAACAGUGGUUAGUGCAACUCUGAUUUUGUGUAAGUUACUAGUCGCGCCAUUUUUCGUAGUUUGUGUGUGUUAUGGUUUUCAACUAUAAUACACACAUAUAACCAAAACUCGUUGGCAGAUAGUGCACUUCGCGAGAAAAAAUUGUACUCAGCUGUUUACGGUACACUCGGUAUGUUAUGUGUCCUACUAUCAUUCAGACAGGGUUCGUGAUUCAUUCCUAAGGGUUGGUAUUCUAUUCUGCUUUCGAAAUAGCCGGUGAAAUUUUUAAUAAUUUCGCGAGCGGCAUUUGACCGCUAUCAAAUGUGUUUGGUCCCAUACCAAUACACGUUUCUUUAUCUGCACUUAUUGUUUUCUCUAUUUUAUAUAUUUUUUCUCAAUAUAAUCUAAUCCCAAAGGGAACCACUGAAAUCUAUAAAACAAACUAAAAUGAUGCCGACAAUAGUUUCAAGUGUUGCCACUAUAAUAGUUUUUUGCAUUUUGCUCACUUUAAACAGAGUACUACUUUUCCACCCGUUUUCAGUCAAUGUUUCGCCGACGUUUUUUAUUGAAUUUGACAGCAUUCCGCUCGAAAUACUGAACAGAAUACUCUGCUGAAACAGAUUACUUCGUUCGGCAAUUGUCCGGUGCACGCAGAGUAGUGUAAUUGUGUAGACAAGAAAUCUGCGCAAGGGUAUACGCAACGUUUUUCUGUUUUUGUUUUAAAAACAAUGAUUUUUGUUGAUUAAACCCUAAGAAGAUGUACAAAAGUAAUUUAUUUUUUUUUUUUUAUUUUUACUUUUGCAAAACACUAAUCAUUCAGUCCAUAGAAAUUAUUUUUUACGUUAUGAGAGAAUUAAAAAUAAUUAAAGAGAGUAUUCACACAUACUGUCACAUUUACAUUUAGGACAUCGCUGUAUUAAUUUCACAAUAAAUACGAUAUAAGUACAACAUACCAACGUAGGGCCCUAGAAGCCUUCAAACCUAAUAUGGCCAAUGAGUUAUUCUAACCAAAUUACGAAACGCGUCCCAUAGUGGUUGGUGUUUGUGGUGAUCUUUGGUUUUCCUUUUCCAUAGCAAAAAAAAAAUCCGAUUAUUGAGCUCGUCUUAAAAGAGAUACAACGAAAAUUGUAAAAAAUAUAAUUAUUUUUAAGCUAUAUAUUUCAUCCACAAUCAAUCCACAAAUUUCUUAAUUGAACCUAGUUUUUAAUUGUUUCUGUACAGAACAAAGCUAUAUAUGUUCUUAAUCUAAUAAUACCUUUUACUGACGUAUUUUGUAGUAAAAGGUUAUCAGCUGUUUAUUUUCCUUUGUUUUCGUCUUAUUAGUAUGUCAUCCUUUGUGCCGAAGACUCUUGAGAGGUUGAUAGAAACAUAUCUUAGGGCAAAGAAUAUACAAUGGUAGCAUUUCCUGACAUUGAAGGUACCAAAGUCAUUCAUGAAGGAGUUGGAGUUUCUACACAAAAAAAUUAAAAACAUGGUUCAAUAAACAAAUUUUUUCAUUUAAUUAAAAAAUUCACUGAAAUCGGACCUAUAAAGGAAUUUAUAUUAUUGAUUAAAGAUUUUAUAAUUUGAAUUUAUGACAUGUUCAAAAAUCUAAUUAAAGCAGUUAUUUUGCGCACAAUACCACGAAAUCUAGAUCAACAUGAAGGAAUACUGCAUUUGUUAUCUUCCUUCAUCAGCGUCGUUUUCCAAGCUAAUGUAGUCUCUUUAGGGAUAAUAACAUAUUCAAAUAAAAUAAUAUUUAUAAGUAUCCGUCUACCUCAAAAUCCGUCCUCAAAUUUUUUUCGUUUAUUUUUUUUUUUUUUCGUUUAAAAUGUACUUAUUUCAUUUGUUCACAUCCUAUUUUUUUCUGCUAUAUACUUUUUCAGGAUAACACUUUUAAAAAUAUAUUGUCUAACCACGCCAUUAUGUGUCUGCCUAUAAUAGAAACUAGACAUGUAUUUGGCGCAUUCGUACUUCUUCGUAUUACAUAUGUGAAAAAGAGGACACAACAAAACGCAGAAAUAGAUACUCACAAAUCCGUCCUCCUUCUUCCAUGUCCUCAAAUUUGUUUCGUUUGAAAUGUACUUAUUUCAUUUGUUCAUAUUUUUUCUGUUUUACACUAUUUUAGGAUAACACUUUUAAAAAUAUAUUGUCUAAUCACGCCAUUA